rnacentral:rRNA from 1 species
GACGAACGCUGGCGGCGUGCUUAACACAUGCAAGUCGAACGGAAAGGCCCUGCUUUUGUGGGGUGCUCGACUGGCGAACGGGUGAGUAACACGUGAGUAACCUGCCCUUGACUUUGGGAUAACUUCCGGAAACUGGGGCUAAUACCGGCUAGGAGAUACUGCUGCAUGGUGGGGGGUGGAAUAUUUCAGGGGUUGGGGAUGGACUCGCGGCUUAUCAGCUUGUUGGUGGGGUAGUGGCGUACCAAGGCUUUGACGGGUAGCCGGCCUGUGAGGGUGACCGGCCACAUUGGGACUGAGAUACGGCCCAGACUCCUACGGGAGGCAGCAGUGGAGAAUAUUGCACAAUGGGCGGAAGCCUGAGGCAGCAACGCCGCGUGCGGGAUGACGGCCUUCGGGUUGUAAACCGCUUUCGCCUGAGACGAAGCGGGAGUGACGGUAAUGGGUAAAGAAGCACCGGCUAACUACGUG